CGGAGCGGCCACUGAGCGGCGCCGCAGCCCGCGACAUGCUCACAGAGCCGGCUGUGCUUCCUCCUGCAACACGCUGCAGGCCAAUCCGCUCACUCACUCCGGGUUGGGUUACAAUGACAAGGGCCCUGUCUGAACCACGACUUUUAGAAAGAUAAUAUUACAGGCCCGCUGCUGAUCCAUCUCCCAGUACACAAGUGAGACGGAGGAGGUUAAAGCACUCUGAACGCAUGGGACUAUAUUGCAGGUGUUUGUGCCUGUGGCAAGGUCUUGGUCUUUUGUUCCCUCCCGUUCCCUCGUGUCCACCACAAGACGACCGGCAUGAACACCAGCCCCAGACAGAAACAAGUGUCCUUGCCAUGCAGCUAUACCAUGGAAGACGGAGUCGGUAUUAAUAUUAAUGAACGGGUGCUGACAAUGUCAAGUUUUAAUGGAUAAUAAAUUAAAGUAUUCUCAUUGACAAUUAACUUUGUGUGGGCAAUAAACAUCACCCCAGGCAAGAUGCUG